ACACAUGCAAGUCGUGCGAGAAAGUAUCUUCGGAUAUGAGUAGAGCGGCGGACGGGUGAGUAACGCGUAGGAAUCUACCUAGUAGAAGGGGAUAGCCCGAGGAAACUCGGAUUAAUACCGUAUACCUCCUUCGGGAGAAAGAAGGCCUCUCUUUGAAGCUUUCGCUACUAGAUGAGCCUGCGUAAGAUUAGCUUGUUGGUGAGGUAAAGGCUCACCAAGGCUACGAUCUUUAGCGGGUCUGAGAGGACGAUCCGCCACAUUGGGACUGAGACACGGCCCAGACUCCUACGGGAGGCAGCAGUGGGGAAUAUUGGACAAUGGGCGAAAGCCUGAUCCAGCCAUACCGCGUGUGUGAAGAAGGCCCUAGGGUUGUAAAGCACUUUAAGUUGGGAAGAAAAGUUAUUGGUUAAUACCCAAUGACCGUGACAUUACCAUCAGAAUAAGGACCGGCUAAU
rnacentral:rRNA from 1 species